GCCAAAGCCCCCAGGCACUUCAUGAAAAAGAGAACGGAUCUGUGAGGACACUGAAAUAAUCAUAAUGGUAUGCAUCAGUAAUCCAAUAAUUAUGAUACAACACAUGAGCUUUUGAGAUCAAUAUAAUGCAAGAGGGAACAUCGGAUUACCAAAGGAGCAGAAACCAACCGGAUGUUGAAGACUAUGGGAGAGAUGCCACUCCACUAUCUGAAGAGGAAUUUUUGCAGGAGCAUGGGAAGUCACUGAGAGGUGGCGGUCUCCUCGCUUAUAGGCAGCAGGAAGAUGGUGUAGGUCGUCAUUAAGGAGGCGGGGUCGUUGAGGUAGCCGGGGUUGGGCGCCUCGAGUCUACAGCGUGGUAGU
rnacentral:lncRNA from 1 species